CAUUCGGUCUGGUGGCGAGUGGCGAACGGGUGAGUAAUAUAUCGGAACGUAUCCAAUAAUGGGGGAUAACUAAUCGAAAGGUUGGCUAAUACCGCAUACGCCCUACGGGGGAAAGCUAGGGACCUUCGGGCCUGGCGUUAAUGGAGCGGCUGAUAUCUGAUUAGCUAGUAGGUGAGGUAAAAGCUCACCUAGGCGACGAUCAGUAGCUGGUCUGAGAGGACGACCAGCCACACUGGAACUGAGACACGGUCCAGACUCCUACGGGAGGCAGCAGUGGGGAAUUUUGGACAAUGGGCGCAAGCCUGAUCCAGCCAUUCCGCGUGAGUGAAGAAGGCCUUCGGGUUGUAAAGCUCUUUCGCAAGGGAAGAAAACUUAGUCUCUAACAUAGACUGAGGUUGACGGUACCUUGAUAAGAAGCACCGGCUAACUACGUGCCAGCAGCCGCGGUAAUACGUAGGGUGCGAGCGUUAAUCGGAAUUACUGGGCGUAAAGCGUGCGCAGGCGGUUUUGUAAGUCAGAUGUGAAAUCCCCGAGCUCAACUUGGGAACUGCGUUUGAAACUACAAGACUAGAAUAUGUCAGAGGGGGGUAGAAUUCCACGUGUAGCAGUGAAAUGCGUAGAGAUGUGGAGGAAUACCAAUGGCGAAGGCAGCCCCCUGGGAUAAUAUUGACGCUCAUGCACGAAAGCGUGGGGAGCAAACAGGAUUAGAUACCCUGGUAGUCCACGCCCUAAACGAUGUCUACUAGUUGUUGGUGGAGUAAAAUCCAUGAGUAACGCAGCUAACGCGUGAAGUAGACCGCCUGGGGAGUACGUCGCAAGAUUGAAACUCAAAUGAAUUGAUGGGGGCCCGCACAAGCGGUGGAUUAUGUGGAUUAAUUCGAUGCAACGCGAAAAACCUUACCUGGCCUU
rnacentral:rRNA from 1 species